rnacentral:rRNA from 1 species
GAGGGAGGCGAAGCCGCGAGGCGGAGCAAAGCCCAAAAAUAACGUCCCAGUUCGGACUGUAGUCUGCAACCCGACUACACGAAGCCGGAAUCGCUAGUAAUCGCAGAUCAGAAUGCUGCGGUGAAUACGUUCCCGGGUCUUGUACACACCGCCCGUCACACCAUGGGAGUCGGAAAUGCCCGAAGUCAGUGGCCCAACCGCAAGGAGGGAGCUGCCGAAGGCAGGUCCGGUGACUGGGGUGAAGUCGUAACAAGGUAUC